GACGAACGCUGGCGGCGUGCUUAACACAUGCAAGUCGAACGGAAAGGCCCUGCUUUUGUGGGGUGCUCUAGUGGCGAACGGGUGAGUAACACGUGAGUAACCUGCCCUUGACUUUGGGAUAACUUCAGGCAACUGGGGCUAAUACCGCAUAGGAGCUCCUGCUGCAUGGUGGGGGUUGGAAAGUUUCGGCGGUUGGGGGUGGAAUCGCGGCUUAUCAGCUUGUUGGUGGGGUAGUGGCUGACCAAGGCUUUGACGGGUAGCCGGCCUGAGAGGGUGACCGGCCACAUUGGGACUGAGAUACGGCCCAGACUCCUACGGGAGGCAGCAGUGGGGAAUAUUGCACAAUGGGCGGAAGCCUGAUGCAGCAAAGCCGCGUGCGGGAUGACGGCCUUCGGGUUGUAAACCGCUUUCGCCUGUGACGAAGCGUGAGUGACGGUAAUGGGUAAAGAAGCACCGGCUAACUACGUG
rnacentral:rRNA from 1 species